ACUGGGCCAUAAAUCCUCCUUGGCCACCGGAUCCACCUCCUUGUGUUUGGCAGGGAUCAGGAACAGACCAGGAACCUACUGCCAUAUGACUGGGCCAUCAAUCCUCCUUGGCCACCGUAUCCACCUCCUUGUGCAUCACUGCCAUAUGACUGGGCCAUAAAUCCUCCUUGGCCACCGGAUCCACCUCCUUGUGUUUGGCAGGGAUCAGGAACAGA